rnacentral:lncRNA from 1 species
GGCCUCCGCUUUUCUCAUCCACCAGAUGGGAAUAUUAACAGUAACUUUCCCAUUAGAAGAUUGGGAGGAGAACAGAAUGGCAUUGUAAGAUGUUUGGUAAAGUGGUUGCCACUUAGACACACUCAAUGUCAUUCUUUAGUUAGGAAAAUAGAAGUUGAUUGUGAUAUGCAGUUACUACUAAUUGGGUGAUAUAAUAAAUCUCCAAUCCCAAUAAGCCUAUACAAAACCACACAAAUCAAUUACAAUAUUUUUAAGCUGCACACCCAGACUGGGCAGAUUACACUACUCUGUUCCCCAGCUAUGAGAUCUCUCGCUACUUGUGGCUUCUCCAAGCCGUGUGGUUCUGCUCUGCUCCAUCUUCCUCACACUUCCUCUUCUUCUGUCUUCUCCUCUCUCUUUCACUCUCUUUCCCCCAUUCUCUAAAACCUCCAGCCCCACGCUUCCCUUCCACUGCCCAGUUACAGCCUUUAUUUGACCAGUUAAAAUGGGGAGGAGGUUCACAUGAAACCACCUGAGUGAGUGAUCCUCUCCUCUUGAGGAAGCAGAAUUAACAUCAGAAUACAAAACAGCACCAGGGCAACCCACAACAGUGUGGUACAGCCAAGCUUGUGCAAUGAAAUCUAAAAUAGAGCUCCCAGACAGGUUCCUGUCAGCCCACUGAUCAGCAAAGACAUUGAUUGAUUGAUCUCAGUAGAACAAAUCUCAAUAGAUGCUACAGAUAGAUAGAAGGACCGCCUACCUCCCGAGAUUUUUUUUUUUUGAGCAUGCCAUUCUGUACCCAAAGAAACUUUCCCUAGAAAUUUGACUUUGGAGACGCAGCUCCAUCAGAUCACGCGAUGAAUAUGUAAGGAUGGGACGUUGGGCUUCUGAGGUGGAAAUAUUAUAUCCUUGCAUAACUCUUUACCCUCCCUGGUGAUGUUGCAGAAAGGGGCAGAACCAGAGGCACACAGUGAGAGGUGUCUUCAUUUGAAGGGGGAAGGUUAAUGACCAGGCUUUAAGGCCCUUUGGGGGGUAACGUCUUUAAGAGGGGUUGCCUUGCUGCAGACACACUGGUGUAUGUCACAUGGACAAGUAGACACAUCUUCAAGAAAACUUCACAAACGCAGCCGAAAACAAACCAGGUCUGUAAAAACGUGUUCCUUACAUUAGCUCAUCACCCCCUUGUCAAGAAGAAUCGAAUCUCCAGGUAAAAAGGCAAAGCAGUUGAUCCUUUCCAGAAGGCGAAGAGAAUUUAACUUCUUUCCUUUCCAGAACUGAUAAGAUCUCAAAUAACCACAUGGGUCUGGCUCACAGGAGGGGCCAGACCUGGCUCCUCUGCAGAGCUGGUAGUUGUUAGAGGGAGCCGGGGACUACAGAGAAGAGGGAUUUCAAACCACCAGGCUGUACUUACGCUUGGUUUUACAUCAGGCUUUCUCAGUGGGUGCUUACCUCACCAGCUUGUUAUGCAGCCCCAAAGAGAUGAGUGUAACAGAAAUUUAAAAGAACCGUGAAGCUCCCUGCCCAUGGGCUGUGCCUCCAUCCCUCCGGGCAAAGAGCUUUCGGUUGAAUACAUUUAUGACCUGUGUAUUUAUGUGUUUUGUGUGUGUGAUCCUCAUAAACAGGCUGCCUGAGUGACAGAUUGAUGGGAGAGAAGAACACAAAGAGGUCUAGACAGAACCAGAGAUGCAGCCUAGCAGCCAGCAGCCUAAUGCACAACAUUGCUCUGGUCCCACAGUUGAUUUCCCCCACUUACUCUUUUUCUCUCUUAAAUGCCCCUCCAAUGUUUGAGCCAGUAUUAGUAGGUGUUGUUAUAUAUGGCGCUGCCAGCUCCCCCUGUGUCCCACCAUCUUGCUAUGCCAGCCCGCACCAUGGGUACCACCAUCACACCCAACCGUUUCAUAUUUUAUGUUACUUUACUUUCUAUAUUACACUCGGCUGGAGCAUUCUCCUAGCAAGGCAGCUUGAACACCAACCCCCUGUGAGUUUUAGAGAAUGACUUCUUACACUUCCCCCUGUUUGUGCUGCUCUCCCAUGUUGAGUUUGACACACAGGACUACCUCAGGAGGCAAAGUAAUGGCACACUCUGUACCGUGCAUAGAAGUGCAUUUCUAAAAUGAUGGCUGAGACUUCGCUCAGGUCGAACCAGUUAUGUCGCAUUUCUUUCCUUUGAAGAUGUGGGACUUUACUUGGGAGAAUAAUCAGUAGCCCCAAUGUUUAUGUCAUCAUUUUUUCACAUGUGCCCGUGAAUUUUUGGUCUUCAUAGACAUUGCACCUCCUUCUCAUUUAUGCCAUAACACUAACUAUACAAUUUUUGUAAAGACUUAUUUUUUUAAUUGUGUGUGUGUGUGCCUGUAUUUGUACCUGCACCAUGGUAGAGGAGGUCAAAGGACAACUUGUAGGAGGCAGAUUCUCCUUCUGGUAGCAAGCACUUUGACUUGCUGGGCCAUCUCACCAGUACUCCAUCCUUACCAUUUUAAACACUCACUCAUGUCAUAGAUUUCUUUCAAGAAUAUUUGCUAUGUGAACCGUUUCUUAAGCUGUAAAAUUAAAUUGUGUUCCAACUCUAAGCAGCAAUAAAAAACACUCUGUAAUCUAAAACCUUGCAGCCCUGCAAGAAAUUAGGCUUGUGGAAAAUAGAAUGACUUAGUACUGUGAUGAUUUUAUUGCUUAAAUGGAGUUGUAAGAGAUAAUUUAAAUAAAAUCAAACACGGAAAUC